AUUGAACGCUGGCGGCAGGCCUAACACAUGCAAGUCGAGCGGUAACAGAAAGAAAGCUUGCUUUCUUUGCUGACGAGCGGCGGACGGGUGAGUAAUGCCUGGGAAUAUGCCUUAGUGUGGGGGAUAACUAUUGGAAACGAUAGCUAAUACCGCAUAACGUCUUCGGACCAAAGAGGGGGACCUUCGGGCCUCUCGCGCUAAGAUUAGCCCAGGUGGGAUUAGCUAGUUGGUGAGGUAAAGGCUCACCAAGGCAACGAUCCCUAGCUGGUCUGAGAGGAUGAUCAGCCACACUGGAACUGAGACACGGUCCGGACUCCUACGGGAGGCAGCAGUGGGGAAUCUUGGACAAUGGGGGCAACCCUGAUCCAGCCAUGCCGCGUGUGUGAAGAAGGCCUUCGGGUUGUAAAGCUCUGUCAGAGGGGAAGAAGACUAUUAGAUUAAGAGUUGAAUAGUUUGACGGUACCCUCAAAGGAAGCACCGGCUAACUCCGUG
rnacentral:rRNA from 1 species